rnacentral:rRNA from 1 species
AUGGCUCUAAGCUCAAAGGGCCGGGCGAGCAUGCUCGUCCAGUCGCUUUAAGACGGGACUGCGGCCGAUCAGGUUGUUGGUGGGGUAGUGGCCCACCAAGCCAGUAACCGGUGCGGGCUCUGAGGGGAGGGGCCCGGAGAUGGACACUGAGACAAGGGUCCAGGCCCUACGGGGCGCAGCAGGCGCGAAACCUUUACACUGCACGAAAGUGCGAUAAGGCUAUACCGAGUGCCAUCCGCUGAGGGUGGCUUUUCCUAGGUCUAAAUAGCCUGGGGAAUAAGGGGAGGGCAAGCCUGGUGUCAGCCGCCGCGGUAAUACCAGCUCCCCGAGUGGUCAGGACGAUUAUUGGGCUUAAAGCAUCCGUAGCCGGCUUUGUAGGUCUCUUGUUAAAUCCAACGGCCCAACCGUUGGAACGCAGGGGAUACCGCGGAGCUAGGGGGCGGGAGAGGCGGACGGUACUCCAUAGGUAGGGGUAAAAUCCUUUGAUCUAUGGAAGACCACCAGUGGCGAAGGCGGUCCGCUAGAACGCGCCCGACGGUGGGGGAUGAAAGCUGGGGGAGCGAACCGGAUUAGAUACCCGGGUAGUCCCAGCUGUAAACGAUGCAGGCUAGGUGAUAGAGAGGCUACGCGCCUCCCUAGUGCCGCAGGGAAACCGAUA